rnacentral:rRNA from 1 species
GUAUUGUAUUGGAUGAUGGGAAUUUAAACCUCUUCCAGAGUAUCAAUUGGAGGGCAAGUCUGGUGCCAGCAGCCGCGGUAAUUCCAGCUCCAAUAGCGUAUAUUAAACUUGUUGCAGUUAAAAAGCUCGUAGUUGAAUUUCUGCUGUAUCGUUAUCUUCUGCUUGACAGUUUGAUUUCGUUAUGGCUUAGUUGGGUCACUUUGUGUCCCGGCGUUUACUUUGAGAAAAUUAGAGUGCUUCAAGCAGGCUUUUGCCUUGAAUACUUUAGCAUGGAAUAAUGGAGUAGGACUUUGGUUCUAUUUUGUUGGUUUUAGGAGCCAGAGUAAUGGUUAAUAGGAACAGUUGGGGGCAUUCGUAUUUGACUGUCAGAGGUGAAAUUCU